CAUCGCAUCCUGGGGCUGAAGGAGGUCCCAAGGGUUUGGCUGUUCGCCAAUUAAAGCGGUACGCGAGCUGGGUUUAGACCGUCGUGAGACAGGUCGGUCCCUAUCUGGCGUGGGUGUAGGAUGAUUGCGGAGGUUUUCCCCUAGUACGAGAGGAUUGGGGAGGACGGUCCUCUGGUGCUCCAGUUAUCACGCUAGUGGUACAGCUGGGUAGCUAUGACCGGAACGGAUAAGCGCUGAAUGCAUCUAAGCGCGAAGCCUUCUCCUAAACGAAUCAUCCCUAUCAGUCCCCUAGGAGACUACUAGGUUGAUAGGCCGGCGGUGUAAACGUGGCGACACGUGAGCUUACCGGUACUAAUCGGACGAUCGGCUUAGCCAC
rnacentral:rRNA from 1 species